AGUGAACGCUGGCGGCAGGCCUAAUACAUGCAAGUCGAACGGCAGCACAGUGGAGCUUGCUCCAUGGGUGGCGAGUGGCGGACGGGUGAGGAAUACAUGGGAAUCUGCCCAGUCGUGGGGGAUAACGUAUGGAAACGUACGCUAAUACCGCAUGCGCCCUUCGGGGAAAGUCGGGGACCGCAAGGCCUGACGCGAUUGGAUGAGCCAUGUUCGAUUAGCUAGUUGGCGGGGUAACGGCCCACCAAGGCGACGAUCGAUAGCUGGUCUGAGAGGAUGAUCAGCCACACUGGAACUGAGACACGGUCCAGACUCCGUACGGGAGGCAGCAGUA
rnacentral:rRNA from 1 species